rnacentral:rRNA from 1 species
AGAGUUUGAUCAUGGCUCAGAACGAACGCUAGCAGCGUGGAUUAGGCAUGCAAGUCGUGCGCGAAAGUCUUCGGACGAGUAAAGCGGCGAAAGGGUGAGUAACACGUAACUAACGUACCCCUCAGAUUGGGAUAACCACUGGAAACGGUGGAUAAUACUGAAUGGUCCUAGGAAGGACAUCCUUCCGAAGGUAAACGGCGGCUUCGGCUGCUGUUGAGGGAGCGGGUUGCGACCUAUCAGCUUGUUGGUGAGGUAACGGCUCACCAAGGCUAUGACGGGUAGCGGGUCUGAGAGGAUGAUCCGCCACACUGGGACUGAGACACUGCCCAGACUCCUACGGGAGGCUGCAGUCGAGAAUCUUCCACAAUGGGCGAAAGCCUGAUGGAGCGACGCUGCGUGUAGGAUGAAGGCCUUAGGGUUGUAAACUACUGUCACGCUAUAGGAACCCGUGUAGGUUAAUAGCCUGCGCGCUGACCAAAGCGAGAGGAAGUGCCGGCUAACUCCGUGCCAGCAGCCGCGGUAAGACGGAGGGCGCAAGCGUUGUUCGGAAUCACUGGGCAUAAAGGGCGCGUAGGCGGCCAGUUCAGUCGGAUGUGAAAUCCCCCGGCCCAACCGGGGAACUGCAUUCGAUACUGACUGGCUAGAGGAUGGUAGGAGCCAAUGGAGCUCCAGGUGGAACGG